UACGUAGGGACCAAGCGUUGUUCGGAUUUACUGGGCGUAAAGGGCGCGUAGGCGGCGCGGUAAGUCACUUGUGAAAUCUCUGAGCUUAACUCAGAACGGCCAAGUGAUACUGCAGGGCUUGAGUACGAAAGAGGAUCGCGGAAUUCCCGGUGUAGAGGUGAAAUGCGUAGAUAUUCGGAAGAACACCAGUGGCGAAGGCGACUCACUGGACACAUAUUGACGCUGAGGUGCGAAAGCGUGGGGAGCAAACAGG
rnacentral:rRNA from 1 species